rnacentral:rRNA from 1 species
GUAGGGAAUAUUGGACAAUGGGCGAAAGCCUGAUCCAGCCAUGCCGCGUGAUAGAUGAAGGCCCUCUGGGUUGUAAAUAUCUUUUAUCUGGGAAGAAACUCCUCUAUUCUUAGAGGCCUGACGGUACCAGAGGAAUAAGCACCGGCUAACUCCGUGCCAGCAGCCGCGGUAAUACGGAGGGUGCAAGCGUUAUCCGGAUUCACUGGGUUUAAAGGGUGCGUAGGCGAGUUGAUAAGUCAGUGGUGAAAGCUCCGGGCUUAACUUGGAAACUGCCAUUGAUACUGUCAGUCUUGAAUGUCGUAGAGGUAAGCGGAAUGUUGCAUGUAGCGGUGAAAUGCUUAGAUAUGUUACAGAACACCAAUUGCGAAGGCAGCUUACUAUGCGAUAAUUGACGCUGAGGCACGAAAGCGUGGGGAGCAAACAGGAUUAGAUACCCGGGUAGUCC